UUUCACCACCACCUUCAGAACCCCUUCUCUAUCUCUAUAAACCAUGGAUUGUUAUUCAAAAAAUCAAAAUGGACACGUGAUAAUGUGAAGCGGUGGAAGGCAGCCCUAAAAGAGGUUGCUAAUUUGAAGAGGAGUGUUGUGUCAGGGUAUGCUUCAUUAUCUCUUUUAUGUAUGAAACCACCUUUAUUCCAAAUAUUGUUGAAAAAAUUCACUCUCAACUAGGUUUGAAACUCCGACUGGUUUAACUGGAAUAGAGACUCGAGCUGAACGUAUUAAUUCCUGGUUGAAUGAUGAGGGACCUGGUUCUCCUGUUCUAGCUAUCUGUGGUAUG
rnacentral:lncRNA from 1 species